ACGAACGCUGGCGGCGUGCCUAACACAUGCAAGUCGAACGGAGAUGUUUUUGAAAGCUUGCUGAUAAGCAUCUUAGUGGCGCACGGGUGAGUAACACGUGGGCAACCUGCCCGGAAGUCUGGGAUAACAGUGCGAAAGUACUGCUAAUACCGGAUACCUUCACGAAGCUGCCUAGCUUUGUGAAGAAAGAUUAAUCGCUUCCGGAUGGGCCCGCGUCCCAUUAGCUAGUUGGUGAGGUAACGGCUCACCAAGGCGACGAUGGGUAGCUG
rnacentral:rRNA from 1 species